GAUGAACGCUGGCGGCGUGCCUAAUACAUGCAAGUCGAGCGAACAGACGAGGAGCUUGCUCCUCUGACGUUAGCGGCGGACGGGUGAGUAACACGUGGAUAACCUACCUAUAAGACUGGGAUAACUUCGGGAAACCGGAGCUAAUACCGGAUAACAUGUUGAACCGCAUGGUUCAACAGUGAAAGACGGUUUUGCUGUCACUUAUAGAUGGAUCCGCGUCGCAUUAGCUAGUUGGUAAGGUAACGGCUUACCAAGGCAACGAUGCGUAGCCGACCUGAGAGGGGGAUCGGCCAAAAUGGAACUGAGACACGGUCCCGACUCCUACGGGAGGCAGCAGUAGGGAAUCUUCCGCAAUGGGCGAAAGCCUGACGGAGCAACGCCGCGUGAGUGAAGAAGGUCUUCGGAUCGUAAAACUCUGUUAUUAGGGAAGAACAAAUGUGUAAGUAACUAUGCACGUCUUGACGGUACCUAAUCAGAAAGCCACGGCUAACUACGUG
rnacentral:rRNA from 1 species